rfam:Oryza rufipogon genomic scaffold, chr02
AAUAAGUGCAGUUUUGUACUAUUCACGUUCAACGUUUGACUGUUCGUUUUAUUUGAAAAAAAAAUUAUGAUUAGUAUUUUUAUUGCUAUUAGAUAAUAAAACAUGAAUAGUAUUUCAUGUGUGACUAAAUAUUUUUAAAUUUUUCAUAAAUUUUUUUAAUAAGACGAACGGUCAAACGUUGGGCACGAAUAUUCACGGGUGCUUUAGGA